UACGAAGGGGGCUAGCGUUGCUCGGAAUCACUGGGCGUAAAGGGCGCGUAGGCGGACGUUUAAGUCAGAGGUGAAAGCCCAGGGCUCAACCCUGGAAUGGCCUUUGAUACUGGACGUCUUGAGUCUGGUAGAGGUUGGUGGAACUGCGAGUGUAGAGGUGAAAUUCGUAGAUAUUCGCAAGAACACCGGUGGCGAAGGCGGCCAACUGGACCAGAACUGACGCUGAGGCGCGAAAGCGUGGGGAGCAAACAGG
rnacentral:ncRNA from 2 species